AUUAUUUAAAAAGUCAAAAAAAAAAUUGGAACGAUACAGAGAAGAUUAGCAUGGCCCCUGCUCAAGGAUGACACGCAAAUUCGUGAAGCGUUCCAUAUUUAA